UAAAAAGAUCAGCUCCACUGCGACCGGCCACGCUUCCAGUCUCCUCUGCCCAGCCUGGACCGUCCGGACGGCCAUCGGGCGCGGCUACAUCGCCAAAUCUGAAGGAUGUUGAGGCUGCAAGUCCGGCGGCGCGACAAAAAAAAACGAAAAAGCCUCCUUACCAAUUGUCAGCCCUGGAGGAUGCAUUGAAC